CAGAGACAGAGUCAAUGGUUUCUGGUCGUUAGUUUGGCAGAGAUCCAGGAAUUUUCCAGGCUGCAUAUACUGACUUUAAGCAGAAUGUGGAACAGGUAUGGAAAGAUGAUUGAACUCUGGUCAACAAACUUGAAGUGAAGCAUCUUUAACUUUCUGGACAUGAGAAAUCUUUUGAGGAAACAUAGGAAACCAUACUUCUGUAGAAGUUUGUUAAAAUGCAUACAUGUGUAAAAACUAUUUAAUUGUCAUUUCUUUACAAUGGUGUAUAAAAUACCCAAACUUGAAAUCAUGUCCAACAAAUAAAGCCUCAUGAACUAGUAA